GCUGGCUCAACGGUCAAGGAGCAGCACUUGGGCGCGUUCACCCGUGGGUUCGAAUCCCAC
rnacentral:tRNA from 1 species